rnacentral:rRNA from 1 species
UACGUAGGGUGCAAGCGUUGUCCGGAAUUAUUGGGCGUAAAGAGCUCGUAGGCGGUCUGUCGCGUCGGUUGUGAAAACACAAGGCUCAACCUUGUGCCUGCAAUCGAUACGGGCAGACUAGAGUACUGCAGGGGAGACUGGAAUUCCUGGUGUAGCGGUGGAAUGCGCAGAUAUCAGGAGGAACGCCCGCGGCGAAAGCGAGCUCCUGGACGUCUGCUGACGCUGAGACGCGAAAGCCAGGGGAGCGAACGGG